rnacentral:rRNA from 1 species
UACGAAGGGGGCUAGCGUUGUUCGGAAUUACUGGGCGUAAAGGGCGCGCAGGCGGCUCAUCAAGUCAGGCGUGAAAGCCCCGGGCUCAACCUGGGAACAGCGCUUGAGACUGGCGAGCUUGAGUUCGGGAGAGGAGAGUGGAAUUCCCGGUGUAGAGGUGAAAUUCGUAGAUAUUGGGAAGAACACCGGUGGCGAAGGCGGCUCUCUGGACCGAUACUGACGCUGAGGCGCGAAAGCGUGGGGAGCAAACAGG